GGGGAUGUCACGGUUUCGACAUGAAUGAUGAUCCUUUAAAUGCAGUAGGGUAAGCCCUUUAUAGCUGUCGAGGUAGAAAUAAAUGCUAACUCAAACAAAAAUGAUAACGUUGAAUUAGAUGCAUUCGAAAUCAACGCUAUUUCUCAACAACAAGCUAAUUUCGCAAUUGCUUAAUUAAUUGUUUUGAAAUCUCUUAAUGGUUUCCAUUAUCAUUAAGAAAACUUAAAUGGAUAGUUAAACUGAUUUCUAUAAGGUUUAAUGAAACAAUAUAGGAUUACCUUUAUGCGGGUUGUUCUAAGCCUUUGUAUAUUGGGACAUUUAAAUUAGAACUAAACUGUAGACUUUAUUGGAAAUUUGUUUGUGGAAACGGGUUCGACUCCCGUCAUCUCCACCA
rnacentral:tmRNA from 4 species